UGAGUGGCAAACGGGUGAGUAUAAUGUGGGAAUCUGCCUUUUGGUUCGGAAUAACACGAGGAAACUUGUGCUAAUACCGGAUAAGUCUUUACGGAGAAAGCUUUAUGCACCAUUGGAUGAGCCCGCACUUGAUUAGUUAGUUGGUAGGGUAAUGGCCUACCAAGACUGUGAUCAAUAGCUGUUCUUAGAGGAAGACCAGCCACAUUGGGACUGAGACACGGCCCAGACUCC
rnacentral:rRNA from 1 species